UGGAGAGAGAGCCUCUUUUCUCUUCUGCGUUUACCUUUCCUCCUCCUUUCGCUCUGAGACAAUCCUGUACAUGCUUCGUUCGGCCGGUCGCUCUCUCCCUCCUCUCCGCACUGCUGCGCCCUCUCCUCGACUCCUCGUCGACUCGUCUCGCCUGCUUCGACUCUCCUGCGCCAAGGUCUGUUGCGAUGGGCCUCCUUUGCUCGAUGGGCGCCCCUGGUUGAGGUUCGUAAUGGCCUUCUUCUCAUGUUCUUCACCUCUCUUUUUGCUUCACCUUACUAAUUUCACCUGCUUUGAUUAGUUUCAUUCGUGCGCAGUUUGGUUCGCCUUGCCAUUGUUGACUGCGUCGAGCCAUGGAUCCUUCUAUCCUUACCACUGAGGUUAGUACACGCCGCUUCUGCUUGCCCAUGAGAUGUUUGAUGAAAUGUGCAUGUGCUGCUCGAUGAAAUCCGUAUGUGCUAACGUUUGUUCUACAGUUCAGGCUGUUUUUCUCGUUUGUCCUGCUGCGUUGCUUGCGUGCUUCUCCUUCUAGCUCGGAUAAAUAGCUUGUUCUUUUACUUCUCUGACCGGCGAGUGUUUCUUGCUUGCGUGUGUGUCGUUGCAAGCCAUGGUUAUGCUCUGACCGUUUUUUUUUCUUUAUGCUUGGCAGGUUGUACGAUCUUGUCCGUUGCUGCAUCUCCUCUCCGUUUUGCUCGUUGUUGCAUUUGCGUCCUGCUCAUCAAGGAUUGCUGCUCUCCGCUCUGCCUGCCUUCGUGUUGUACUUCCUGUAUGUGCUAUCAUAUUGUCGCCUGUAAUUGUUUUAAUAUGUAUUUCGGAUAUGGCCGGCCGUCGUGUGCUGUUCGUUCUUGUGUUCAUUAUAUCCCGUGCUCGCGUGUGAGCAGGAUGUGUGCGUUUGUUUCAGUUAUUGUACCUAUUUUGGAGGCCGUGGUGGCUCGUUGCGUCUGUGGUCACUUUUGUAUUUAUGUGAGGUCGCAGAGGAUGGGUCUGUCCUUACUGGGGUAGUGCUCGAGCUUCCGAGGGAUGGUUCUGGUCCAGUGCUACGAAGGGAGUUCUUUUGGAGCUCCGCCUGGUGUUGUUUCAUGAACGCCUAUGAACAGGAUGCUCUACAUGCCAUACGUAAUUUACAAGGUCUAUACAUUGUGUGCUAAUGUUGACCAUUUACGGCAAGGGUUAGGCAAACAUUUUAUCCUGUAGAAUGUGUUACCAGUUCUUAGCACACGCCAGUUAUUUAUUUUGCGUUUUUAAUGCAUCGCAUGAUUUUUUUUAUAACAAGGCAUCCUCCAAAGCCAUUCCACGGAAGUGGCAAGAGGCAGUUCUCGACAAAUCGCUAUAAGGUGUUCUCUCUAUACCUGUUGAUUUUUCCUUCUCUCUGGUUUUGAUUUCCGAUAUACAGUUUAUAUAAACACCACAAUAUGCCAGAUAUGAAAGAGAAAAGCGACAGAAGAAUCCAAUGGAAGAAUUUGGUGAAGAACAAGGUGCCUCUCUCUCUCAUGUGAACACAGUAAGUUUAUUCCUGCAUUUUGAUGCUACGAUUCAUGCUAAUGUAAACAUGAGCUGUGCACCUGGUGCAGUGUUAGACUAAGUAUAUAGUAGAUAUACGUGUUGUAACAUAAUCUGUAUUUGUACGGUUCCCUCUUAUAAAUAUAUGACAGCCGUGCCCACCAAGGGCAUCGAGCAUUGUUCCAAACCCUAGUUUGUCU
rnacentral:lncRNA from 1 species